UAAUUGACAAAGGUAUAUCAACAUGUGAAUAAAUGCCAUGAUUAUCCAAGUGGGGACACUUGUAUAACCAUUUAGAAAUCAACUUAACAGAAUAUAUAUCUGAGCUAACAUGUUGAUAAUCAAAGCGUACAUAAUCUGUACAGGAAUAGAAUAAUUCUGAAACUUCUUACUCAUGUCCAUUGCAUAAAGGAAAUGCAAAGGUAAGAUACUUGCCUGAUUCGCUGAUUACAAAUCUCAACUUAGGUUUUAUCUCUUUAUCACAACCUAUCAAUAAUCAGAUCAUUCGUUCGAUUAGAACAAUAUAUCAUAACACAUAGUACUGUCUAUUACAGUCAGCACAUAGUCUAAUCACGUCAUCACAUAAUCGCAGUGAUCAUACUUUUAGUUCAUAUUCUAUACUUGAAAUAUUUUUAUACAUUUUUCAAAUAUCUCAUCCAUGCUCUUACAGAAGUCUUUUCUUUCUAUUAUAGGGUCUGACAUUUGUCGGCGUACCGACAGCUUUAUCGGGUAAAUACUGAGUCUAAGACUCUUAUCCUAUACCUCAACAUCUGUAAAUAUCAAACAUUUUAUUUUUAAUCAUUUUCGAAUUUUCCAGAAAUUGAAAAAUUUAAAAUAAUUCAAAUCUGUCACUACCGGGCCUAUAGUGAUAUAACUGUUACUAUAGGUGUUCCUCAAAACUUCAUAACUUCAUAAUCGGUUCUCAAGUCAGCUAGUUUGGCCGGCUAUAACUUUCAAACAUCGGAAUCAUAAUUAAAUGAUUUAAACAUUAAACAAUUCCAUUAUCAUUAAUAAUUAAUUUAUAUUAAACUAUUAAUGAAACCAUUGCCAAAAUAUAAAAGUUAUUUAUAAUAACUCAAACUAUUUUUAAAACAUUUAUAUUACCCUUAAAUGAUUUUUAAAACAAUUAAAAUCAUUUUUAAAUAAUCACCAUUAAUAUAUAAAUAUUAAUGUACUAUUCAUCCAAAUAUUAAAAGUCAUUAAUUAUAACUUAAAAUAUUUUUAAAUCCUUAAUAUCCUCUUUAAAUGAUUUUUAAAUAAAUAAAACCAUUUUUAAACUAUUUAUUUAAUAAUAAUUAUUAAAUAAACUAAAUAUCAUUAAUAUUAUCUUAAUAUCAUUAAUAUUAAAUUAUUAAUGAAAUUAUCCUUUAAAUAUUAAAAGUUAUAUUUUAUAACUUAAAAUAUUUUUAAAUACCUUAAUUUCAUUUAAAAUGAUUUUUAUAAUAUUAAAAUCAUUUUUAAACUAAAUUAUUUAAUAUAAUCAUUAAAUAACUUUAAUAUCAUUAAUAUAUAAUUAAUUAAUGAAAUUCAUCACAAAAUAUUAAAAGUCAUGGAAAAUAACUCAAAAUAUUUUCUUAUACCAUAAAAUAAUUUUUCAUGAUUUUUCAUGAAUUAAAACUAUUUUUAAAUCAUUUAUUUAAUAUUAUAAUUAAAUAAAUAAAUACCUUUUAUAUUCCAAAAAUAUUAAAUAUUUAUGAAAUAUACUCAAAAUAAUUAAAAACUAUUUUUCAGACUUUAAAAUAAUUUUUCAUAAUUUAUUUGGUAUUUUUAAUAAUUAAAAUCUAAUUUUUCUAAUUUUUAAAUCAUUUUUCGGAAAAUCAGAAAUUAAAAUAAUUAAAACUGUCGCUAAAGGCCCCUAUAGUGACAGAAGUGUCGCUAUAGGUGUUCUUGAGCCUACCCAGAUCUUCAUAAGGCAGAACCGAGUGGCCUACUUUGACCGUGAAUAACUCUCUCAUCUUAACGAAUUUGGACAAUCUAUAAAUUGGGUCUUGUAGAGGAAAUACAAGACUACAAGAUCCAACAAUCAUAACCUCUAAACAAACAUCAGAUCUGGGAUAAAUCAGCCAUCAAAGUAGCUACCAAAGCUGUUCUUCACGAAGAACAGUUCGAGGUGCCUACUUUGGACCUCUAUAACUUGAUGAUCGUGUAACGUUUAUGUGAUCUAUCAAUUCCAGUGUGUAGACAACAUGUAGGACUACAACUCUAACACUUAACAUCAUCAUAAAAACAAGAAAUCAAGCAUCUAAAGUAUGGUCAAACCUUGUCAGAAAAAUUAACACUUAGAAAAUUCUGGGCUGCCCAGAAUUUUCUGGUCAAUGCCGGUCAACCCACUUUGACCUUAAAUAACUCUUAAUCCGUAAUAUAUAUGGACCUGAUUCUUUUUGGAGGUUAAAUACCACAUAACAAGCUACACAUAUCAACCUUUAGAACACAAAACACAUUAAAUAUGACCGAGAUAUAAGGCCUGACAUUUGCCAAAAAAAAAUUUCUGGACACUUAGAAUAUUUUCUGGGUUUGAAAAACAGCCGGUCAAUGCCGGUCAACCCACUUUGACCGCUUAUAAAUCCCGAUAUACAAUAGAUAUAGACCUAAUUACUUUUGGAGUUUAAAGAACACAUAUCAGGCUACCUAUAACAACUUUUAAACAACAAAACGCGAGAUCUAACAAAGAGUUAUAGCCUCUGACAUUUGGUGAAAAAUAACAGAAUUCGAUUUUUCCAACUUGUUUUAAAUCUUCAAAUUCAUGCACUUUGAUGUUAUGGGUCUGUGUUUUUACAACCCAGAACAUUAAUAGACUCUCUAUUACACUACUUUAAACAAUCAAUUGCAUCAAUUAACAUCGAAUCGAAGGAUUUCAAAAUUAGGGAAUUUACCACUUUUUGGAGCUUUGAUUCUUGGAUUUCUGACUUUGAUCUUGUGUUUUUGAUGCUUGUGAUCGUGGGGCUGUACUUAGGAGUGUAUGGGCAAGUGUUUUUGGGAGCUAAGAGGUUGAGAGAGCAUAGCUAGAAGAGUUGGGGCAAUUUUAGUGUACAAAAAAUGCUAACUCUCUCCAAUCUAUGUAUAGAAUAAUUCAAAUGCCUUGGAUGCUAGAUUGGUUGAUUGAAUCUGAGCAUAAUUGAGUCUUGGAUGCUCAAUUGGUAGGGUAGUGAUGUUGGCCAUGAUUUGUUGCUAGAUUCCUACAAUAAUACACUAAUAAUACACUAAAUGGACAAAAAGGGCAUUUUAGUCAUUUCCACACUAAUAAUUGGUUUCUUCCUUUAAUAAUGCACAUGGGUAGUUUAGACUUCUCAUGUCUACCAUGAAGGGCAUUAUAGACAUUAUCCAUAACCAUUAGGGUUUAUCACUUUAGAUUUUAAAAUUCCAUAAAAAAUAUAACUAAUAAUACACUAAAAGGGUAUUUUGGUAAUUUCCCAUAUAAUUUCAUGGGCAUUUUUGUACAUAGCAAUUAAAUGUAGUAUUUAAUCACUAGAUGGUAAUUCUUAUCAUUUACCAAUUACUUUCUAUCCUUUGGUAAAUUAAAACAUUUAUACAAUAACAUCGUAAUUAAACCCAAUAAUUUUAAAUUAGGGUUUUGAUUGAAAAAUUAGGGUUUUCUAAUUAGGAUUUCUUAACGCCGUCAAUUAGGGUUUCCAAUUGACCAUUAGGAUUCUCUAAUUAUAUGUGUAUGUUCUAACACAAUCAUUACAAUCUCUAACUUCAACCGAUUAGGGUUGUAAUAAUUAGGGUUUGUCCUAAUUAUCGACAAACAACAGUAAUUAGGGUUUUCUUCUAAUUACCGACAUCUUAUACACAGUAACCUUCAUAUACANN
rnacentral:lncRNA from 1 species